UACGGAGGAUGCGAGCGUUAUCCGGAUUUAUUGGGUUUAAAGGGUGCGUAGGCGGACUGUCAAGUCAGCGGUAAAAUUGAGAGGCUCAACCUCUUCCCGCCGUUGAAACUGGUGGUCUUGAGUGGAUGAGAAAUACGCGGAAUGCGUGGUGUAGCGGUGAAAUGCAUAGAUAUCACGCUGAACUCCGAUUGCGAAGGCAGCGUACCGGCAUCCAACUGACGCUGAGGCACGAAAGCGUGGGGAUCAAACAGG
rnacentral:rRNA from 1 species